AACUGAUACUACCUGCGGGAACCUGCGGAGGGAUCAUUCACAAUAAGUGUUUUAUGGCACUUUAAUUCCAUAUCCACCUUGUGUGCAACGUAGUUCGUUUUUCGAACAAAACAUCAACAUUUUAAUUAUCAACAGAUCGUCUGAAGUAUUAUAUGAAUAAAUCAAUUCAAAAUACAACUUUUAGCAACGGAUCUCU
rnacentral:misc_RNA from 1 species